GAUCCAUGGCCGGUGUUCUUCAAGCGCGAGUGGAAUCGCAACUGGCCGUUCCUUGUCGGAUUCGCUAUUACUGGAACUAUUAUCACCAAGUUCUCCCUCGGACUCACUGAGGAGGAUGUGAAGAAUUCCAAAUUUGCGCAGCGGCACAAGUGAAAAUGUCGGAACUUAAUUUGCUUGCUGAUUACGAUUUUACUUGCAGGGUUUGGUUUGGUUUUGUUUCAGUUUUUCUUAUUUAACGUAAGUUUAUCACCUGGAUGAUAUCUCUGAAUUAUGAGGCAAUAAAUCUUGCGAACACUUUCAGUUGAAUCUGUAUUUGUGGAUUGUGUUUUUUCUCAAUGAGGCAUCCGAGAUGAAUGAAAUGUUCCUCAUUGCUCUUUGAACAUGGGUGGAUGAUUGAUUGUCCCAUCACUUCAUAAUUCUGCUUUUCUUAAAAAAUAAUAUGUAAUGACUCAUGAUUGUCCCAUCAUUUGAUGUAUGCAUUGCUUCCAAAUCAAGAAAUUGUGUGGCAAUCAAGAAUUCUAUUCCCUAACUAAAUCACCAGGAGUGCCGAGAGAUCAAGAAAUAGA